AGAUACCUGUCCCUGUCACAAAAGAAAAUGAUGUGGAGCAUGAAGUUGAGUUGCCACAUGUGAAGGAAAGUGAGAGCACUGAGUCAGAUAUGCAGGAUAUCAACCUUAAAAAUCUAUCCAACCCCUGUGUGAAGAUCAAAGAGCAGAGAUGCGAGAGGAGGGCAAAUGAGAGGUUGCAAGUGAACCUCAUGAAGCCUAUGGAGAGUACAUCUUCGAAGAAGAAAUCUUGAAGGUCUCUAUGGCGCUGAGAUGCAGAGCAAGAUCAUGGAGGGAGUCAAGGUCCUUCUCGCCUGUGCUCACAAGGUGUUGGCGCAGCAACCCCGUCCAGUGCUCUAUCUGCCGGCGCCCCAGGAGGAUACUUCCGAGGAGGAGAACGAUGACUGAAGAAGACCUGCGCUGCUGCUUCUCUUUUGGCUUUGGUUGUGCUGUUGUAGGUAUUUGUGGCGUGUGUCUUCAGUAGACUGUUUUGCUGGGAGCUGUUUAUGUAGUUAAUCUGGAGGCUCGUCUUGGGAGUCCCAAGACCGCGGGUGAUUCGGGUCUGGGGCAUCUGGGUUUUGAAGGUCAAAACCUCAUGUGGUUUCCCCUCUCUGUUCUCUCGAAUCACCACGCACCCCAUUCUUUCUCUCUCUUUCUCCCUUCCCCGAACGUCCCUUUCUCUGUAAGAACGUUGGUAUUUCCGUUCAUGCAAUGGAAAUGGGGUGCGC